rnacentral:misc_RNA from 1 species
GCAGUUCUUUCGCUGCUGGAUCCCGUCCCAGGUGAGGAGAAGUGGCUCGUCAAGGGCGUUGAGAACGUUGAUGACGACGUUGUAGUUCGUCGUGGCAUUGAUAACGGGGCCGGGGAACUCCUUGUUGAUGGCGAUAACCUGCUGCUCAACGCCGAGGGGAGAGGCGGUGAUGUAGCCGACGGUCCAGUCAUAGUAGACGAAGGGGUCGCCGGCCGCGGUGGGGCCCACCAGCGCCGCCGCGCACAGUAGGGCAAGGGC